UUCGGACAUAAGAUUUUACAAGCUUCAAGUAUAAGCGGCAAUGCUAGCAACAAGUAUAAAAAUCGAGAUCCGAAAAAAAGGUGGAUGAAACAAAGAUUCUUGCUAUAAAUUCAUACAAGAUAUCUAUCAAUAUUGGUUAAUUAAUGCUCAAAACAGGAAUAUGAUGCACAGAGAGCCAUAGGGUACCGCUCUACAUCAUUAAAAAAAUUAGCGAUUUUAAACUCGCAACAAGCUUGAGAAAAAGACUGUGAAAGAAACAAUCGUCAACAGCGAUCACGACGAAAGCGUUGCAGAAAAUAUACUUAAUGAAAAUACUUAAUGAGACAUACUUAAAUAUCUA